rnacentral:rRNA from 1 species
GUGGGGAAUCUUGCGCAAUGGGCGAAAGCCUGACGCAGCAACGCCGCGUGAGGGAGGACGGCCUUCGGGUUGUAAACCUCUUUCGACAUCGACGAAGGCCCUCACGUGUGGGGGUGGACGGUAGGUGUCAAAGAAGCACCGGCUAACUACGUGCCAGCAGCCGCGGUAAUACGUAGGGUGCGAGCGUUGUCCGGAUUUAUUGGGCGUAAAGAGCUCGUAGGCGGUUUGUCGCGUCGGCCGUGGAAACCUGUCGCUUAACGGCAGGCGUGCGGUCGAUACGGGCAGACUUGAGUUCGGCAGGGGAGACUGGAAUUCCUGGUGUAGCGGUGAAAUGCGCAGAUAUCAGGAGGAACACCGGUGGCGAAGGCGGGUCUCUGGGCCGAUACUGACGCUGAGGAGCGAAAGCGUGGGGAGCGAACAGGAUUAGAUACCCUAGUAGUCC